UUUUACAAUGAAGAGUUUGAUCCUGGCUCAGGAUGAACGCUAGCUACAGGCUUAACACAUGCAAGUCGAGGGGCAGCAUGAACUUAGCUUGCUAAGUUUGAUGGCGACCGGCGCACGGGUGAGUAACGCGUAUCCAACCUUCCGUUUACUCGGGGAUAGCCUUUCGAAAGAAAGAUUAAUACCCGAUGGUAUGGUAAGAUUGCAUGGUAAU
rnacentral:rRNA from 1 species